rnacentral:rRNA from 1 species
AAGUUUUCGGAUGGAAGUUGAAUUGACUGAGUGGCGGACGGGUGAGUAACGCGUGGGUAACCUGCCUUGUACUGGGGGACAACAGUUAGAAAUGACUGCUAAUACCGCAUAAGCGCACAGUAUCGCAUGAUACAGUGUGAAAAACUCCGGUGGUACAAGAUGGACCCGCGUCUGAUUAGCUAGUUGGUAAGGUAACGGCUUACCAAGGCGACGAUCAGUAGCCGACCUGAGAGGGUGACCGGCCACAUUGGGACUGAGACACGGCCCAAACUCCUACGGGAGGCAGCAGUGGGGAAUAUUGCACAAUGGGCGAAAGCCUGAUGCAGCGACGCCGCGUGAGUGAAGAAGUAUUUCGGUAUGUAAAGCUCUAUCAGCAGGGAAGAAAAUGACGGUACCUGACUAAGAAGCCCCGGCUAACUACGUGCCAGCAGCCGCGGUAAUACGUAGGGGGCAAGCGUUAUCCGGAUUCACUGGGUGUAAAGGGAGCGUAGACGGUAAAGCAAGUCUGAAGUGAAAGCCCGCGGCUCAACUGCGGGACUGCUUUGGAAACUGUUUAACUGGAGUGUCGGAGAGGUAAGUGGAAUUCCUAGUGUAGCGGUGAAAUGCGUAGAUAUUAGGAG